rnacentral:rRNA from 1 species
AUGAGUCUCUUGGUCUGGAACUGUCGUGGGGCUGGCAAAUCCGCGACAGUCAGAGAGCUUCGUGACAUGAUGAGGCAACAUGCCCCCUCGAUUCUUUGUAUCCUUGAAACAUAGAUUGAGGGAUCUCGUGUCAAAAGUUUAGCAGGUUCUUUAGAUUUCAAUAAAAGCUUCACAGUUAGUAGUUCAGGCCGAAGUGGAGGUCUAGGAAUUUUUUGGAAUUGA